UGGCGGACGGGUGAGUAACGCGUGGGUAACCUGCCUCACACUGGGGGAUAACAGUUAGAAAUAGCUGCUAAUACCGCAUAAGCGCACAGUUCCGCAUGGAACAGUGUGAAAAACUCCGGUGGUGUGAGAUGGACCCGCGUCUGAUUAGCCAGUUGGCGGGGUAACGGCCCACCAAAGCGACGAUCAGUAGCCGGCCUGAGAGGGUGAACGGCCACAUUGGGACUGAGACACGGCCCAAACUCCUACGGGAGGCAGCAUG
rnacentral:rRNA from 1 species